UAUAAUCCAAAUUCUCAUGGCACAUUAUAUUUAUUUAUUAUUUGUUUGAAAAGCAUACAUUAAGCUUUUUCAUAAACUAUACACGAACAAGAAACGGAAUAUAUUGGUCAUCAGGAGUUGCGCCUUAGAUAAAUAAUACAUGGAUGCUCCAACUUCUUAUAUGCAGUUUAUUUUUUUUCUUUUUCCCCUUAUUUUCCCUUUUCUGUUAGAAGCAAAAAUAUUCUCGACAUCCCAUUUCUAAUCUAUGUAUAUAAUAUCCCUCCAAUAAAAUGUUGCCAGAUUAUGAUUGCUAUUACCAUUAGCAAGUGGUGAGUGGUAGAUUUGUUGUUUUGUUGCAAAAUUAAUAUGUCAACUUUUGCGCCUUAGAUAAAUAAUACAUGGAUGCUCCAACUUCUUAUAUGCAGUUUAUUUUUUUUCUUUUUCCCCUUAUUUUCCCUUUUCUAUUAGAAGCAAAAAUAUUCUCGACAUCCCAUUUCUAAUCUAUGUAUAUAAUAUCCCUCCAAUAAAAUGUUGCCAGAUUAUGAUUGCUAUUACCAUUAGCAAGAGGUGAGUGGUAGAUUUGUUGUUUUGUUGCAAAAUUAAUAUGUC
rnacentral:lncRNA from 1 species